AACGAACGCUGGCGGCAUGCCUAACACAUGCAAGUCGAACGAGACCUUCGGGUCUAGUGGCGCACGGGUGCGUAACGCGUGGGAACCUGCCCUUAGGUUCGGAAUAACUCCCCGAAAGGGGUGCUAAUACCGGAUAAUGUCUUCGGACCAAAGAUUUAUCGCCUUUGGAUAGGCCCGCGUUGGAUUAGCUAGUUGGUAGGGUAAAAGCCUACCAAGGCGACGAUCCAUAGCUGGUCUGAGAGGAUGAUCAGCCACACUGGGACUGAGACGCGGCCCAGACUCCUACGGGAGGCGGCAGUGGGGAAUAUUGGACAAUGGGCGAAAGCCUGAUCCAGCACUGCCGCGUGAGUGAUGAAGGCCUUAGGGUUGUAAAGCUCUUUUACCCGGGAUGAUAAUGACAGUACCGGGAGAAUAAGCUCCGGCUAACUCCGUG
rnacentral:rRNA from 1 species